rnacentral:rRNA from 1 species
UACGAGAGGACCGGAGUGGACGCAUCACUGGUGUUCGGGUUGUCAUGCCAAUGGCACUGCCCGGUAGCUAAAUGCGGAAGAGAUAAGUGCUGAAAGCAUCUAAGCACGAAACUUGCCCCGAGAUGAGUUCUCCCUGACUCCUUGAGAGUCCUGAAGGAACGUUGAAGACGACGACGUUGAUAGGCCGGGUGUGUAAGCGCAGCGAUGCGUUGAGCUAACCGGUACUAAUGAACCGUGAGGCUUAACCUUACAACGCCGAAG